GAUGAAGAACGUAGCGAAAUGCGAUAAGUAGUGUGAAUUGCAGAAUUCAGUGAAUCAUCGAAUCUUUGAACGCACAUUGCGCCCCAUGGUAUUCCGUGGGGCAUGCCUGUUCGAGCGUCAUUUACCCCCUCAAGCUCCGCUUGGUGUUGGGCGUCUGUCCCGCUUCGCGCGCGGACUCGCCCCAAAGGUAUUGGCAGCGGUCGUGCCAGCUUCUCGCGCAGCACAUUGCGCUUCUCGAGGCACCGGCGGGCCCGCGUCCAUCAACCUCCACCCCCCCAGUUUGACCUCGGAUCAGGUAGGGAUACCCGCUGAACUUAAGCAUAUCAAUAAGCGGAGGA
rnacentral:misc_RNA from 1 species